rnacentral:rRNA from 1 species
AUCGAYUUACUCUAACCCUUUGUGACCUUACUGUUGCAAUUCGGGGUUUCCGCGACCCCCGAAAGCUACGAACCUCGGGUCGGCCGCCGGAGAUACCAAUCUAUUUAACGACGUUUCUUCUGAGUGGUACAAGCAAAUAAUCAAAACUUUUAACAACGGAUCUCUUGGUUCUGGCAUCGAUGAAGAACGCAGCGAAAUGCGAUAAGUAAUGUGAAUUGCAGAAUUCAGUGAAUCAUCGAAUCUUUGAACGCACAUUGCGCCCGCCAGCAUUCUGGCGGGCAUGCCUGUUCGAGCGUCAUUUCAACCCUCAAGCUCUGCUUGGUGUUGGGGCCCUACAGCUGAUGUAGGCCCUCAAAGGUAGUGGCGGACCCUCCCGGAGCCUCCUUUGCGUAGUAACUUUACGUCUCGCACUGGGUCCGGAGGGACUCUUGCCGUAAAACCCCCCAAUUCUCCAAAGGUUGACCUCGGAUUCAGGUAGGAAUCC